rnacentral:rRNA from 1 species
AGAGCGAACGCUGGCGGCAGGCCUAAUACAUGCAAGUCGAACGGACCCUUCGGGGUUAGUGGCGGACGGGUGAGUAACACGUGGGAACGUGCCCUGUGGUUCGGAACAACUCAGGGAAACUUGAGCUAAUACCGAAUGUGCCCCCAUCCUUAAACAAGAUGGGCGGGAAAGAUUUAUCGCCAUUGGAGCGGCCCGCGUCUGAUUAGCUAGUUGGUGAGGUAAAGGCUCACCAAGGCGACGAUCAGUAGCUGGUCUGAGAGGAUGAUCAGCCACACUGGGACUGAGACACGGCCCAGACUCCUACGGGAGCAGCAGUAGGGAAUCUUGCGCAAUGGGCGAAAGCCUGACGCAGCCAUGCCGCGUGAAUGAUGAAGGUCUUAGGAUUGUAAAUUCUUUCAGCGGGGACGAUAAUGACGGUACCCGCAGAAGAAGCCCGGCUAACUUCGUGCCAGCAGCCGC